rnacentral:rRNA from 1 species
UACGUAGGGUGCGAGCGUUACCCGGAAUUACUGGGCGUAAAGCGCACGUAGGCGGCCUGGUACGUCGGAUGUGAAAUCCCCGGGCUCAACCUGGGAACUGCAUCCGAAACUGCCUUGCUAGAGUAUGGGAGAGGGAAGUGGAAUUUCCGGUGUAGCGGUGAAAUGCGUAGAUAUCGGAAGGAACAUCAGUGGCGAAGGCGACUUCCUGGACCAAUACUGACGCUCAGGUGCGAAAGCGUGGGGAGCAAACAGG